GACGAACGCUGGCGGCGUGCUUAACACAUGCAAGUCGAACGGAAAGGCCCUGCUUUUGUGGGGUGCUCGAGUGGCGAACGGGUGAGUAACACGUGAGUAACCUGCCCUUGACUUUGGGAUAACUUCAGGAAACUGGGGCUAAUACCGGAUAGGAGCUCCUGCUGCAUGGUGGGGGUUGGAAAGUUUCGGCGGUUGGGGAUGGACUCGCGGCUUAUCAGCUUGUUGGUGGGGUAGUGGCUUACCAAGGCUUUGACGGGUAGCCGGCCUGAGAGGGUGACCGGCACCAUGGGGACUGGGAAACGCCCCGACCCCAUGCGGGGGGAAGGAGGGGGGAAAUUGCCACAAGGGGCGGAGGCCUGAGGCAACAACCCCGGGUGCGGGAUGGCGGCCUUCGGGUUGUAACCCGCUUUCCCCUGUGACGAAGCGGGAUGGGCGGAAAUGGUAAAAAAAGCCCCGGCAAACUCCUU
rnacentral:rRNA from 1 species